UACGUAGGGUGCGAGCGUUGUCCGGAAUUAUUGGGCGUAAAGGGCUCGUAGGCGGUUUGUCGCGUCGGGUGUGAAAUCCACUGGCUUAACUGGUGGCUUGCUUUCGAUACGGGCAGACUGGAGGUAUGCAGGGGAGAGCGGAAUUCCUGGUGUAGCGGUGAAAUGCGCAGAUAUCAGGAGGAACACCGGUGGCGAAGGCGGUUCUCUGGGCAUGUCCUGACGCUGAGGAGCGAAAGUGUGGGGAGCGAACAGG
rnacentral:rRNA from 1 species